UAUAUAUUAUAUAUAUAAAAAAGCAAAACAAAAUAUACAUGUCAGAUUUAACUAUUUAAAUCACUCCCACGUUUCUCUCUCCUCCAACUCCCGCUCCCACUCCCACAUUUCUCUCUCCCAUUAUCUAUACAUUUAAUUUAUUAAUAAUAAUAAUAAUAAUAAACCCUUUAUUUCCCUCUCUCUUUCUCUAUCAUUCUAUCUACCCUAGUCGCCUCUUCCUAUCUCUCUUCCCUCGUAUGAACAAUAUCCCUUCAAACUCUCUUCUCUCCCAUGAACAUACUCACUCAAACUCAUAUUCCUCUCUCUCUCUCUCUAAUUGUGUCUUGCAGAUCGUUGGUAGUGGAGGUGAGCUUGCCACGCAGUGGUGGUAGAAGCACCCAAGUAAUCUCGUAGCUGUGGGAGGCCGAAGUCGUUGCUGGUGGGUGAAGCCCUUUCCUUCCCCGAGAGCUUGUCACUAGUGCAAGCCUCUGCCUUCGUCUCAUUCAAAAACAACUCAAAGGUGUAAAAAUUUUACAAUAUGUUUUUCUCCUUUUUUUUUUCUUCCAGAUUUGUGUUCCUCUUGAUAUACAUGGAGAUUCUCCUCAAAAGUUUGUAUUGUCAUAUAUUUUUUUUUACUAGCAACUGUAAGUAUGGAUUUGUGUAUUGUUUAUUUUGGUUUUUUGGCGUGGAUAUGUAUAAACAAAACAAAGAAAUUAAAAAUAGUUUUGUUAUUGUUAAUUUAUUUUUAUUUUUUUUUUGACAAAAUCAUUGAUUUAGUUUUGGUGUUGAUUUGGUUAAUCUUAAUUUAGUUUUUUUUUUGACAAAAUCGUUUUACAUUUUAAAAUUUUAUUCAAUCUUCCAAAUAUACCAUAUAAUUAAACAUAUUAGCAAUUAUAUUAAUAAUUUAUUCAUUUUUAAUAAUAUUUAAUAUUACUAAUUGGUAAUUAAUAUAUAUUUAUAAAUAUUGAUAUAUAUAAAUAUUAUUAAUUAAAUAUAUUAAUAUAUAUUAUUUAAUUCAAUUCAAUUUUAAUUUGUUGGAUAGUAAUUUAAUUAAUAUAUUAAAAAAUUAAAUAAUUAAUUUUCGAUUUAAAAAAAUGGAAACACAUUCAAAUUCUCCCAUUGAGGAGACGUGGGACCAAUGGGAGGAGACGUGGGAGACAUCACACGUCUCCUAAUGGAAGACAAUGAAAGUCCUCAUUUAGAAAAAUGACCUCCAUGCAAAAAUCGACAUUUCUGCACUUACUGCAACAUUCAUGGUCAUACCAUUGACAAAUGUUACAAGAUACAUGGGUAUCCCCCAGGCUAUAACAAGCCUGAAUAACCCAAUAACGUAGCUGCUAAUCAGAUUCCAGUUGCUGAGACAAAUACAAACAAUUCAAGUGACAACAUUGUCAUCCUUCCACAACUCAAUGAUGCUCAGUAUCAACAACUUUUAAAUCUCCUUGCCACUCAAUAUUGUAUAUCAUCAUCUAUUGGACCAUCAGGAAAAAAAAUCUAAGAUGAUGAUUGGCAAGGGUAGACUUUCACAAGGCUUAUACACCUUGGAGAAUACCAGGCAACAAGUUCAUCUUAACUUUGUCAGCGCAUAUGUUUAACAUUCUCAUUUGGGUCACUUGUCUUCCAAAUGUUUAGAUUUACUAAGUACAACUUUGAAUUGUAACACUUCUCAACUUCAUAAACACUCUACUUGUUACAUUUUCCCUAAAGUUAAACAAAGAAAAUUACCUUUUUCUAA